AAUGGAAGAUGAAGCAUUCUUCAUUCCAGAAGACAGGAAGCGCAGAAGCUCAGCAGGGACCUCCUGAGGCCAGAUUAAAGGAGCGCAGGCCCUGCACACACCCUGGUCCUUGUCAGCACCCCCGCCCUGGAGCCCUUGCUACAAAACUCCUCACCAAACCCUCCCGGGUUGGGACACACAGUGUUCAAAGGCAGGAACCUGCUGUGUCCCCCUUUGCCUGGAAAAGUAUUAAAGCUCUUCUUUUCUACCUCACCCAGCUGUGUCUCCAAGAUUCCAUUCAGCACCGGUGCACGGAGGCCGCGUGUUCUGCGUCAGUAUUGAAGCCAGAACUGGAAUGCGGGCACUCGGUUCCGGUGCCGGCGCUUUAAACCAUCACGUUUUCAUUUCUCCAUGAGCGUCUCCAAAAAGACAUUUCAGACGUAUGAAAUGUACAUUUAUAUUAAGCACUUGGUGUUUAUUUUAUGACUCCACACCGUUUCAGUCAUAAAUAUGUAACUUAAAAAUUCUACUGCCAACAACAAACAUGCAUCAUUUUGAUUUUGGUCUCACAUCAAAAGGGCGGUGCCCCAAGCCUACAGGAGCGAGGCACUCCGUCAGUGAAACCGUCACGGUGUCUUGGAUGGAAUACCCUUUCUAGUGGCUAUGGAAAUGUGAGAUGAAUCUUCUGAAACCAUCCAAAGGGAAAAGGCUCUGUUGCCCUGAUUCUUAGCGAGAAGACGUUUUGCCAUAAAAUCGCCGUUACUGUGUUCCUGGGCCUGACAACCCGUGAUGAGGGAAAAUCAUAAUUUGUAUUCACAUCAGCUUCUGAAGGACAGAAGUAGGAAAAAGCAAAGGCAGUGAGGUGACUAACUUGUUUCUGGGGAAAAGUGAACGUUCUAAGUAGGAGACAGAGUUUCUGUUACCGCUAACCUUGAGGUCAUCAUGGGCGUGACCAAGGCGGCAAUCUGUCGGGAGCUUCGAUGCAGGCGUGCUGCUGGACCCAAGAAGCUACAAGGGUUUACAGAGAAGCAGAGGAAGAACAGAGAGGCCAAGCGAUUUACCUAAGACCACUCGGGCUGUAGGUGGCAGAGCCAGGUCCUGAACUUGGCUGUUAUUAAUUCGGUGGAGGAUUUUAUCAUUAAUGGUGUCUUAAAAUAAAGAUAACACUAAGUAAUUUUUUUGGCUGAAUAAAGAAGUCUUUCCCUAACUUCUCUCCUUUUCUCACCAUCACUGAGUCAUCACCAGGGUAAGUCUCAUCCUUCCAAAAACUUUCUAGGACAAAUCCUUAGCCCCACUGCCCCCAAAGUAAUGAUAAUAUCCUCUAGGUUUGCUGAUGCACCCUCCCUGAAAUUGACCGUAAAUGCUUUGAUGGCAGAAAUCGUGCCUACUCUCUCUCUCCUGUUUUCAGUCCAACCACCCCUGGACCGCCUGCCCACCACAGCACUUAACUCUGCAUGUGUGCACUUCCAUGUUGAACACAUCUUUUAAUAGCUGGUGAGUGAAAUUAACAAAAGUAUGAAGUAGCCAAAUGCAGUUACAGCCAUGAUAAAUCUUCAUGGAAGAAAAAUGAAUGAGGAGCAGCUCCUUCCGACAUAGUGACGGAGACUGGAGCCAUGUGGAGUUCAUUUUCUUGCUUGGCUGUCAGUCAGAGUUGCGGAGCUUGUAAACGGAAGAGCUAAAUUAUGGAAAACAGGAGUCAAAAUGUACAAAUCUCUAGGCUCACACCUAAGUGAAAAUUAUUCAUAUGAUUUUAUUUAUUUGAUGAGCUGAAAGAAGACCAGGUGAGCACUUCCCAAACCGGAAGCAAUGCAGAAUCUGUCUUUUCAGAAGUCCGAUGGUAAUACUCAUUCCAAUAUUACAAGGUUGUUUCUAAAGCCUGGCAAACAGCCCAAUUCAUAUUGCCUGAGUGGUUUAAAUAGAGUUAUGAUAGAAAAAUCUUAUGGAACAGAUGGUUCACAAGACUCUAAUAGCCAAUCUGUUAUAGCCAAGAUGUCAUCAUUUUGAAAAAUAACUUCUAGGAAAGUAUCUUCUUCAUAUUUUGAAAGUAUGAUGUCAAAUGAAAUCCUUUGCUUUUUAAUUUUAGAUUUUAAAUUUGUGUGUUACAAUUUAAAACAUGUAUGUGUGUGCAAGCAUGUGGUUUUGAAAUAAUAAUUGCUGACUGUUGCUGCCUGGGGAGAAGAAAUUUCAAGAACCACUGAGCUAAAAUGGGAAAUGAAGGGUCACUGUUUAUGAAGAUUCAUACGUAGAGUAAUUUAAUGAAAUGACAAUUCACUUUGCAUCUCCUGUGCUUUGGGCAAUUAAUUUUACUGUGAAAUAUUAGACUUCAGCUCUGAGUUAAUGUCUUACAAAAUAAAGAAACUGUCGUGGACUGAGCCAAACAUGCCACUUCACGAUUAAAAACAGCAUAUAGGGAACUAUACUCAAUAUUUUUAACACCUAUAAGGAAAAGAAUCUGAAAAAAUAUAUAUAUGUGUGUGUGUAUAUAUAUAUAUAUAUGAAUGUAUAACUGAAUCACUUUGCUGUAUACCUGAAAUUAACACAUU